CAUGCAAGUCGAGCGGCAGCACGGGUACUUGUACCUGGUGGCGAGCGGCGGACGGGUGAGUAAUGCCUAGGAAUCUGCCUGGUAGUGGGGGAUAACGCUCGGGAACGGACGCUAAUACCGCAUACGUCCUACGGGAGAAAGCAGGGGACCUUCGGGCCUUGCGCUAUCAGAUGAGCCUAGGUCGGAUUAGCUGGUUGGUGAGGUAAUGGCUCACCAAGGCGACGAUCCGUAACUGGUCUGAGAGGAUGAUCAAUCACACUGGAACUGAGACACGGUCCAGACUCCUACGGGAGGCAGCAGUGGGGAAUAUUGGACAAUGGGCGAAAGCCUGAUCCAGCCAUGCCGCGUGUGUGAAGAAGGUCUUCGGAUUGUAAAGCACUUUAAGUUGGGAGGAAGGGCAGUUACCUAAUACGUAAUUGUUUUGACGUUACCGACAGAAUAAGCACCGGCUAACUCUGUGCCAGCAGCCGCGGUAAUACAGAGGGUGCAAGCGUUAAUCGGAAUUACUGGGCGUAAAGCGCGCGUAGGUGGUUCGUUAAGUUGGAUGUGAAAUCCCCGGGCUCAACCUGGGAACUGCAUUCAAAACUGUCGAGCUAGAGUAUGGUAGAGGGUGGUGGAAUUUCCUGUGUAGCGGUGAAAUGCGUAGAUAUAGGAAGGAACACCAGUGGCGAANGCGACCACCUGGACUGAUGCUGACACUGA
rnacentral:rRNA from 1 species